rnacentral:rRNA from 1 species
ACGGUGAGUAACGCGUAUCCAACCUGCCGUCUACUCUUGGACAGCCUUCUGAAAGGAAGAUUAAUACAAGAUGGCAUCAUGAGUCCGCAUGUUCACAUGAUUAAAGGUAUUCCGGUAGACGAUGGGGAUGCGUUCCAUUAGAUAGUAGGCGGGGUAACGGCCCACCUAGUCUUCGAUGGAUAGGGGUUCUGAGAGGAAGGUCCCCCACAUUGGAACUGAGACACGGUCCAA